AGCGACCAUCUUUGCAGUCUUUUCAUCCACCUGCUUGCCGUGACAUCUCCCAGUCUUUAAGUCAGGGUGGCCCAAGUGCAAAAAAGGGGAGAAAGGGUUGUCGAAAAUGUAGCAGGCAGAAGAUCUUCAAGUUUGAAGUGAUCACUGGGAACAGAAUAAAUGAGGGGAAAGCAGAAUUGAAAGUGCGUUGGGUCCCCUGCUCUUUUUGUGGCAAAAUCUGGGAUGACACGUGGGAGCCUGCCAGUCAGUUUCACCAUCACUUUGCCGUGUCCGAAGUGCCGCCUCCUUCAGCCAGCGAACAGCUCUCUGGAUGAUAUUUUGCUGGUAGUUUUUUCUUUUUUUCUUUUUUCAUGUUACAAUCAAGUUUGGAUAUCCAUAUCUGCAAACUGUAUUUGUGUACUCUUUCCUGGGAACAUUGUCAAAAAUCUGUGGAACCAAAGAUCCACACGUGUAGAUACCACAUUGGUUUAUGCUGUUCAUUGAAAAGAUGCGUUCUUUUUAAGUGGUUUGAUUGUUACAAAUGUCUGACAUGUAUUUAUACUUGUUUAAAUGCUUUUUGUUUUAUGAAAAAUUCAUUGUCCUCUGUGUUGGUACUGACAGUAAUUUUUCUGGAAUCUGAUGUUAAAUGCUUUAAUUGUACAGCACCUUUUUUUUGUUGUGUAGCCAAGUCUUUGCAACAAUAAUAGGGGGGUAUAAUUCACAAAAUGAAU